rnacentral:sRNA from 1 species
CUUUCAACAACGGAUCUCUUGGCUCUCGCAUCGAUGAAGAACGCAGCGAAAUGCGAUAAGUAAUGUGAAUUGCAGAAUUCAGUGAAUCAUCGAAUCUUUGAACGCACCUUGCGCCCUCUGGUAUUCCGGAGGGCAUGCCUGUUUGAGUGUCAUGUAGACUCAAUCCCUCGGGUUUCCGAGGAGAUUGGACUUGGGUGUUGCCGCUCUGCCGGCUCGCCUUAAAAGACUUAGCGGGAUAGCACCGUAGUCGGCGUAAUAAGUUUCGUCGGUGAAGGUUGUGAUGACUGCUUACAAUCGCCCUCGGGCAAUUUUUGACUCUGACCUCAAAUCAGGUAGGACUACCCGCUGAACUUAA